UUCCUCUUUCCUUUUCUCCCGAAGACCCCCAAUUUUCUCAUUACUAUCUCUCGAACCCUAAAAAGAUUAAAAGGGUUUUGAUGGAGCAUUUCUUCCCGUGGAGAUUAGGUUAGACAUGUUGAGUUGUGAUUGCAAAAUCAGUAUGCAAAAUCAUCAUUCAUCAUUCUCUGAGAUGCUCACUUUAACCAUCCUUUUGAUGAUUCCGGUAAGUUGGGUUUUAUUAAUCACCUAAAAUCAUCCAUUUCAGAGAAUUAGAAGGAUUAAUUUUACACCUCCGUAUAACUGUUUAGCUUUGUUGAUCUGUUUUGCUCGAUUAGCUUCCGAAUUUUAUAGUUGUAACCCGAUCACCGAUGAAUAAUUAUGUUUAUGGGAUUAGAAGAUUUGGUUACGUUUCUUCAAUCAAUGGAUGAAGAAAUUUUGGAGACUUCUUCUGUAUUCUGUAUCUUGGGAACAAGGUACCUUUGCCGAUUGAUUGAGCUCUUUAUUGGAUCGGCCGUAAUUUGGAAAUGAUGGUGACCUUCGAUUUGGCGGAGGAAAUUUUUUAUAAACAUCUUUCACUACCACAUUUGCCAUCAGACAGUAAUUGGUGUCUUAUAUAAAGUGGGGGUUUUAAAUAGGCUUUCAACACCUUAGUUUCUUUGAACGAAUCUGAGGAAGAAAAUCUGAAGUUAAUGGAGUCAUUUGAAGUUGAGACAGAAAGUUUUUUUUUUUUUUUUUUUUUUUUUUGGAAACAUGAAAAGCAAAGAAAACUUAAGCAAAUUCCUUAAGCAGUGGGGAUAUAGCUACGUGAAAGGUCAGCUGUGCGAUUAGUCUCUCUAUAGCAAUGAAGCCCUGUAAGAGUUUGAGUGUUGUACCAAAUGCGGAGAAUCUGCCAAGGCAAGCUGGCAGAAACAUGCGGAGACAGAAAGUCUUGACCAGCCUUUGAGAAUCCGCGCGCACAUGCUUAUAACGGGCCAGGUAAUCCGCGCGCACAUGAACAAUGAAAAUUGUGUUGAGUUUAUGUACCAUAAGACCAUUCUGACCGAUUUCUAUAGGAUGUAGCACAAUAGCAGUUUUACUUGCUAGAAUAGCAUGGUCUAGUACUUAGUAGCAUGAAAUGAGAAUAAUCUUGGUCCUUCCUAUAGAAAAGGAAAUCAGAUUUACAUUGGGUUUUUAAGGAAGAACCAGUAAAGGCUGGAACUAGAUUUAUUUAUUGUUCUUUUCUGAGUCAGUAUGCUUUCAUUUGUUUCUCUUAAGAUUCACAGUUGUAAUGGAGUACACAAAUUUUCACCCCAUACACAGAACACUAUGAAGCUGAUGAGAAGUCACUGAGGUUGAGCUUGACAAACUCUUCAGGAGGCUACCAAAAAGGCGGGCCUUCAGCUGAGAUCAAGACUAGUUCAUUGAGUACUUCCUUCACUUGAUAGUAAUCUCUGACUAGAGAAUUUGCAUCAAGAAUAAUUUGCUAAAUAGGAGUAGCUUGCUUUUCAAAAACCCAUAAAUUUCUGGAUUUUCGCAUAGCUCAUAGAAGAUUAGAACUAGAGCAGAAAAUUUUGGUACAGUAUACCAUAUUGAGGGAGCCAGCUAUUGGAUCUUAGUUAUACUACGUGCUUCCUCUGAAGAGCAGGUGUGAAGCAAAAAGUAUGGCUCUAGACCUGGGACAGUGUCCAGUGACUCCUCAUGAUCCUCGCCAAAACUACACGUGGGAUCAGCUUGAUGCACAAACUUGUUUAUAAGUUGUUUGCAUCCCAGUCCCUUGAAUCACAAUGCUGCUUAGAUAAGAAGUUACCAUGCUCACAGAUAGUCAAUAAUUUUGAAAAGGUACUUAUUUUAAACAUAGCCCUUGCUUAAUUACAGUAUUUUGCAUUCUACAUUUAUAAUUUAUUUUUGUUUCUUUAAAGUACAUGAUGUUCAAGCAACUUAAACAACUUUUAGGCCCAUAGAACUGCGGACUAGGAUUGACUAGUGCACAAAAACAUACACUUCUCUCUAAACCAAGAAUUUUAUCUCAUAACUGCUCUGGACAGCAUUUUAUGCGUAGUAUUUGUAGCUUCCGAGCUUUUGGAAUUAGAUAAAAGUAACAUUUACAUGAACCUAAUGCUAUUGACAUUGUCUUAGUGAGUUAUAUAUGUAGACCAUUGUUAUUCUGUCGUUAUAUCAUCGAUCCAACUUCAUGGGAAUGUUUUUUGCUUUCUUAUAUUAGGUUAAGCUAUAUUAAUUUGUCAACUCUGCAAUUUCAUCAGCGACUUAACGAAUAGUACCUGCGCUAAAAUUUGUCUUAAUUCAUUAAAUUUUUUUACAAGAUUAAUAGAGUUAACUAGGCAGAGUUCUCUGUGAUGUUAAAGGUACCCUGCAGAUUACUACCAGGAUGUAAAACAACGAUUUGGUUGCAGACUAUUAGCAAAAAUACUUUACAGGCUUACACAUUUCAUGACCACAUCUGCUUAGAUUUCUAGUUGUUUAACUUCGAUUCAGUUAGAGACCAAGUCGCGUCAUUUGCCACCACUUAGUUGCAUUUGCUAUUUCUUCCAAAAAAAAUACUGGCUUAGUUGAUCUUAUCUAGCAAAUUAGCAUCUAUACGGAUGAAAAUGGUAUACACGGCAUAUUCUUAAAAGUCAAAUAUCUGUUUGACUUUAAGAACCUGCAUGGGAUUUUAUUUUUGACUCAGAAUAAAGGUGUCAUCUACAUCUUUAUAGUGAAUCUUGCUCACGUCGUGUUUGUGGGUGUCCAAAAUACUACAAAACUCUUGGAUGCCCGCCAAUGAUCAGAACCCACAUGUGACCAAAUUAUGACUGAUCCCUGUUUGCCUACUUAUAGGAUGUAGCACAAUAGUAGUUUUACUCUUUUCUCAACGGUUGCUUUGACCUUUGGGUCUCCAGUCGUCGAGUCUCUUUUCUAAGCUAUUGAACUCUCUUGUCCAUGCAUCAAUGUCUUUCUAUGACUCCAUGUCUUUGGAAAGGAUACUGUGUCUGGUAAGAGUCAAUUGAAGUUGGAGUUAAGUAUAAACUGUUAGCAUAUCAGCCUCUAAUCAUGAUUAAGAUAUUCUUUAUUAGCUACUAGCAUGCUUAACUAAAUCGGAUGACAAGUUACGACAUAUGCAGAUACAUACUACAUUACUCUAUGCUUAGUACCACAUGGUAUACAUCUGAAAACAUCAACAUGAAUAUGAACAUGGAAAACAUGCUUUAUGCUUUAACUUCAUCUUGUUUAUGUCAACUACUUGAUGCUCAUACAUGCUGCAUACAUAGUAUUACGUAUACUACAACUAAUACAUGAUAAACAAGGAAACAAUAGAAUUUAGGUAUACCUGUCUUUACCUUAUUGAGGACCAGACAAUAGUUAACAGCAGAUACCUUCGGUUACCCUUAAAAACAGUAGAAAAUAUAGCUUGCUGAUACCUUAGACUAAGUAUCUGUUCAACUCAGAUUCCUCCUAUCUUUGUUUUAGACAGUCACUAGCAAUGAUACUCUACGUUAAACCUAUUAUGCUGGAAGUUCUUCAUCCACUUCUAUUCUCUUAUCUUUCUAAUGGCAGAAACAUACUUUAAAUAAGGCUAGAAGGGAGUCCACCUCCGACUGCAUAGACAUGUUCACCCACUCAGCCAUCAUGAGGUGGAGACACAUCCCUUAACUGAAUAGAAUAAAUUAAUAUGCCACUUUAUGGAUUAACUUGAUGUACUUGGCCUUAUGUACACAUCCCUACAAGACAGAAAGUCUUGCCUUUAAUACAGGAUCUAGACUUUAAACACACACUUGAUUAAGAUUAGGCUAAUCCGGUUUUAUUAAACUAUGAUUUACUCCUAAACCAUAAAAUGUCUAACAUAAACUUCUGUCAAGAACGAGCCACGUAUUCUAGACCUUGAUGUUCCAUUCGCAAUAGUAGUUUCUGUCACUUCAACCUCUAGGGCAUAUGCUAAUCUUGAGGUACUGGCCGUUAUAACUUGGCAAGUGUUGUUUGUCUCUGUGCCCAUGCUUUUCCUGUCUGCCUGCUGCCUAUAGGUAAUGUACAAGUUUGCUCUCUUAACUCUUUUUUAGCGUAUUAAUACCCUUAAAAAUACUACAUUGUUCUUCUCUGUAGUAUUCUUGUGUCAUUAAACAUGUGCAGACAAACUCUUUGAGAUUUGGAGCACAUGACGUGGUAAGGCUAGUCUUCGUUGAAUUUUAUUUUGAAAUUAGGUAACGAGUAACACUUAUGUGAACCUAAAUGCUAUUCAAAAUGUCUUAGUGGGUGAUAUAUGUAGACCAUUAUUAUUCUGUCUUUAUAUCAUCAAUCCGGUUUUAUGGGAAUGGCUAUCACUUUCUUAUAUAUAUUGCUUUGUUAACUCUGCAACUUUGUCAGUGACUUAACCAAUAGUAGCUGCACUUUACACAUUUGACGCCCACUUCCUAAGUUUUAUAAAUUGUUUAACUUCGAUUCAGUUAGUUCCAAAAUUGCAUCAGUAGCCACCACUUAAGAAAAUCUUGAAUAGCGAAGACCAGUCAUAUUAUGAGGUGCCUGUUGUCUAUGAUGACAGUGAAGUUACAAUAACUGGUAACAUUGGUACUUAAGCUGAGUAUUAGCAGUAUAGUCUAUCCUGCUUUCUAUGAUACACACUAGUAACAGAAACAUUUUCAUAAACCAUCAUUGAUGUCUCGUUGCUUAUCCUUUGAAACCUUGUCAUUUUCUCUAUUAUCAACGGCAAGAGAGAUCCCAGUGUAAAACUCCGAGCUCAGUGUUCACAUGAAAAUGGCCUCAAUGGUUUGUGUCCAUAAGUAUCGCGUCAAUAGGUUUGGGUUCGUUUGGGUAGUAUCCUCUUCUCUGAGUUGCAGAACCUGUUGAGAUAACGAUAAGUCAACGUGAAAAACUGUUCGAAUAAUUUGUUGGCCCUUUGGUCUCCAGUCAUCAAGUCUCUUUUCUCAGCUCUUGAACUCUCCUGUCCAUGCAUCAAUGUCUUUGGGUAGGAUACUGUCUGGUAAGAGUCAGUUGAAGUUAGUGUUAAAUAUAACUUCUGGAAAGAACGAGUCAAGUAUUCUAGGCCUUGACGUUCCAUCCGCAGUAGUACUUUCUGUCAGUUGAACCCCAUGAUUUCUUUUUUUUUUUUGCUUGACACUGGUGGGCGGAGGAGAUGCUGUGUUGGUCCAGAGUCGUUAAGUCAGACAGAGGCAGAUAUCGGCUCGGCCGAAGGAGAGCAACAAUACCCAACUUGUACAGCUAAGUGCACAGUGGAGGUUGUUGCAGAACUGGUAAUGGAUCCAAAGCAGACCCCAAAUAUCAGGAGAGCCCUUCUGCAGGACAGUGGGAAGCUAUGUUGCUUCUUUGGUCAUAGACAGAGUAAUGACUCUGUCACCCAUCCUCCCAGCUUUCAGUGACAGAGAUGAGCGGCUUCGGGCAGUCUUCUAUGGGAAAAUUAUGAUGGUAUGUUUAUUUGUAGCGAGGAUGGUGUUUCUGGUUGUGGGGCUAUUAUAAGAGAUUCUUGUCAUAGACGAAUAGUUGCAGGGUCUAAGGCUAUUUCUAAAGGGAAGUGUGUCUCAUCAUUUAAUCUAGAGUUGGAAGGGGUUGCUUUAGGGAUAAAACUUGCGAAGAAGUACAAGGUUUAUCCUUUCUAUCUCUACUGCCCUUCUGAAGAAGUUUCUCUGUUUGUCACCCAAAAUUGGGGUCUGAAAAAGAGGUGUUACUGUAAUGGCAAAUGGGAAACUCUCUGCAAAGCUUGUUCGAAAUUGGUUAUAGAAGACGAUGAAACUUCGCUAACUUUCACAUUGUUAUCCUCUAGUUUUGCUAUUGUUUUUGUGAAUCCGAUGAUUCACACAAGUUAUUGUUUUAGUCGCAAUUUUGAAUCAUCCAUAAUUUUGAAAAUGGAUGUUCAAAUGAACAGAUCUGUUCAUUUGAACAUCGAGUCGCACCAUCAGACGCGCGUCUGUUGCAAGGAUGCGCGCCAUCACCAACAACUCGGGCGACAACCAUCAUGACGCGGAGAUAGAAAUGGAUGUCGCUGGAGAUAGAAUGGAUGUCCCCUCUCACAUAUUUUCUCUCCAAAACCUGAUUAUUAUAAUUAUGGUUUAUUUUUUAUUAUUUAUUUUAUUAGUUAAAUAAUAUGUGGGACCAAACUCUUAUUAGUUUAUAUAAAUAAAAUGAU